ACCUAGCGGCAGACGGGUGCGUAACAUGUGGGAAUCUGCCUUUUGGUUCGGAACAACAUGGGGAAACCUGUGCUAAUACCGGAUAAGUCCUAACGGAGAAAGUUUUAAUGCCAAAAGAUGAGCCCGCAUUUGAUUAGCUUGUUGGUGAGGUAAAAGCUCACCAAGGCUAUAAUCAAUAGCUGAUUUGAGAGGAUGAUCAGCCACACUGGGACUGAGAUACGGCCCAGACUCCUACGGGAGGCAGCAGUGGGGAAUCUUGCACAAUGGAGGAAACUCUGAUGCAGCGAUGCCGCGUGAGUGAAGAAGGCCUUUGGGUUGUAAAGCUCUUUCGUCGGGGAAGAAAAUGACUGUACCCGAAUAAGAAGGUCCGGCUAACUUCGUGCCAGCAGCCGCGGUAAUAC
rnacentral:rRNA from 1 species